GGUGCCCGCCCGCGUGUAGGCAACGAGAGCGCUCAAAGAGAGGAUUACUGCUUGCAGGGGAGCUGAGAGAGAGGAUACAAUUAGAAGCUUGAAAAGCGAAGUUGUGGAUCGUUCUUGGCAGGAAGCAGGAUGACGAACAGCAUACCCCAGGAGAGACAGUGCACAGGGCAAGGAAGAAUCCUGGACAGGAUGUCAGUCCAUCAGAAGGCAUACAGCCAACUGCAAAUGCAUCUUAUGAGAAAUUAGAAGCCAAACCAAUUUGCCCAAAUGCAUGUUUCUGGAGGAAACCGGAGUGGCCCUAGUGCAACGCUAGGAGAGUAUGCAGACUCCUCGGAAACAGGGUGGCGACAACAAUCUGCACCCAGAACUUGGACUUCUGCACAUUCAGGCACACUGACGCACUUUGAAGUAACAUCUGAUACAAUAUUAAAUAUGAUAUUCCGUCAUUUAAUUUUUAUUCUGUGGCAAAGUUAUACUCUAAUUUCAGUGCCGCAUGUCAUACUACAAUGAUCAGCGAUAAGCACGAAAUGAAAAUUGUUAACCUCA